rnacentral:lncRNA from 1 species
CUUCGGCUCAGUCCCUAUAUCCCAUCCAAGACAAAGGCACCACUUCAAUGACAGGUGUGAACUGGAACAUCAAGAAUGAAAAUGAAACAGGCCCAUAUCCAGCUUAAGGACUGACUCACCCAUCAAUCCUGGAGAAAAGGGAUCAAGUACAGAGUUCUAUAUAUGUUAGGUAAGUGUUCUGCUACUGAGUUUUAUCCAUAGACCUUGAUAUUUGUUUGUUUGUUUGUUUGAGAAAGGAUUACAUUACAUGGCCCAGAUUGGCUUUAAACCUGAGGUUCUCUUACUUCUGUCUGUGAAAGCUUAUAUUCACAUAUCUACAAUACCUGGCUAUAGCCACAAAUUUUGAGCAUUUGUUAGGUAACAAAUACUAAAUUAAUAGUUUUAUAGGCAUUAUCACAUAUUUUCAUCAUGAUAUUACACACAUUUUUGUGGCUAUAAAAACUAGGUUUCAGGGACUCACUUAUUUAAGGUGUUCAGCUAGUUAAUGG